ensembl:lncRNA
UCAGUGUCACCUCCAUGGUCCCCAUCUCCAUGUGAUGUCAACACUGUGGUCCCAAUGUCCACGCAAUGUCACCACUGUGGUCCCCAUCCCCAUGAGAUGUCACCAUCACUGUCCCCUUCCCCAUGAGAUGUCACCUCCAUGGUCCCCGUCCCCAGAUGAUGUCACCUCGAUGGUUCCAUUCCCAGCCCUUGGUCACUGUCACCUGCAUUGUCCCCAUCUCUAGAUGAUGCCAUCUCCAUGGUCCCCAUCCCCAUGCAGUGUCACCUCCAUUGUCCCCAUUCCCAUGAGAUGUCAGCACUGUGGCCCCCAACCUCAGUCAAUGUCACCUCCAUUGUCCCCAUCUUUAGAUGAUGUCACCUCCAUGGUCCCAUUCCCAGCCCUUGGUCACUGUCACCUCCAUUGUCCCCACGCCCAGGUGAUGCCGUCACCAUGGUCCCCAUCUCCAUGCAGUGCCACCUCCAUUGUCCCCAUCCCCAUGAGAUGUCACCUCCAUGUUCCCCAUCCUCAGUCAAUGUCACCUCCAUGGUCCCCAUCCCCAGCUCUCGGUCAAUGUCACAACCAUUGUCUCCAUCCCCAUGAGAUGUCACUGCUGUGGUCCCCAUUUCCAGCUGAUGUCACCUCCAUGGUCCCCCUCUUCAGCCCUUGCUCAGUGUCACCUCCCUUGUCCCCAUCCCCAUGAGAUGUCACCUCCACUGUCCCCAUCCCCAUGAGAUGUCACCUCCAUGGUCUCCAUCCCCAGGCGAUGUCACCUCCACGGUCCUCACCUUCACUCCUUGGCCAGUGUCACCACCGCAGUCCCCGUCCCCGUGUAAUGUCACCUCCACGCUCCCCACCUCCAUCAAUGUCACCACUGUGGCACUCAGCCCACCCCAAUGCAGCUCCAGCUGUGGGGACACAGUGGUGACUCUGGGGGCGGUGGGAUGGGGUCAGAGUGGGACCCCCAGAGUGGGAACCCAAGAGUGGGAUCUCCAAAAGUGGGACCCCCAGAGUGGGAACCCAAGAGUGGGACCACAAAGUGGGACCCCCAGAGUGGGAACCCCGAAAGUGGGACCCCCAGAGUGGGAACCCAAGAGUGGGACCGCAAAGUGGGAACCCCCAGAGUGGGACCUGAGUGAGGGAGAAAUGGGGGUCAGUGUGGGAAACCCCCCAGUGCGGGGAAACUGUGGGCACUGCGGGAUCGGUUCCAUUCUGGUUCCAUUCUGGUUCCAUUCUGGUUCCAUUCUGGUUCCAUUCUGGUUCCAUUGCACUGCGGGAUCAGUUUUAUUCUGGUUCCAUUUUGGUUCCAUUGCACUGCAGGAUCGGUUCUGGUUUGGGUCCAAUGCACUGUGGGAUCGGUUCUGUCACACUGUGGGAUCGGUUCCAUUCUGGUUCCAUUGCACUGUGGGACCGGUCCUGCUGCAGUACCACUUUGGUUCCAUUGCAGUAUGGGAUCAGUUCCAUUUUGGGUCAAUUGCACUGCAGGAUCGGUUCUGCUUUGUGUCCAUUGCACUGUGGGAUCGGUUCCGCUGCAGUGCGGCAUCGGUUCUGUUUUGGGUCCAUUGCAGUGUGGGAUUGGUUCUGCUGAAGUAUGGGAUCAGUUCCAUUUUGGGUCCAUUGCACUGCAGGAUUGGUUCCAUUUUGGUUCCUGAGUAUGGGAUGGGUUUCACUUUGGUUUCAUGGCAGUGUGGGAUGGGUUCUGCUUUGGGUCCAUGGCAGUGUGGGAUCGGUUCCAUUUUGGGUCCAUGGCAGUGUGGGAUGGGUUCCGCUGCAGUGUGGGAUCGGUUCUGCUUUGGGUCCAUGGCAGCACGGGAUGGGUUCCCUUUGGGUCCAUUGCAGUGUGGGAUCGGUUCCAUUUUGGGUCCAUCACAGUGUGGGAUCAGUUCUGCUGCAGUGCGGAACAGGUUCUGCUUUGGGUCCAUGGCAGUGCGGAACAGGUUCUGCUUUGGGUCCAUGGCAGUGCAGGACGGGUUCUGCUUUGGGUCCAUGGCAGUGCAGGACGGGUUCCCCUUUGGGUCCAUGGCAGUGCAGGACGGGUUCUGCUUUGGGUCCAUGGCAGUGCAGGACGGGUUCCGCCGCAGUGCAGGACGGGUCCCACUGGAGCUGCCCGCACACAAAGGCCAGCCGUUCGCAGUGCGUUGGUUUCAUAUAUAUUUGUACAUAGAGAUUUAUAUAGAUUUCUAUCGAUAG